ACAUGCAAGUCAGGGGCAGCAGGAUCUGUGCUGCACAGGUUGCUGGCGACCGGCGCACGGGUGAGUAACGCGUAUCCAACCUCCCCCACAGUAGAGGAUAGCCCGGCGAAAGUCGGAUUAAUACUCUAUGUUGUAUUUCGAGGACAUCUGACGAAUACCAAAGAGUUUAUCGCUAUGGGAUGGGGAUGCGUCUGAUUAGGUAGUCGGCGGGGUAACGGCCCACCGAGCCAUCGAUCAGUACGGGUUCUGAGAGGAAGGUCCCCCACACUGGAACUGAGACACGGUCCAGACUCCUACGGGAGGCAGCAGUGAGGAAUAUUGGUCAAUGGGCGAUGGCCUGAACCAGCCAAGUAGCGUGAGGGACGACGGCCCUACGGGUUGUAAACCUCUUUUGUAUGGGAAUAAAGUGAGGCACGUGUGCCUUUUUGUAUGUACCUUACGAAUAAGCAUCGGCUAAUUCCGUGCCAGCAGCGGC
rnacentral:rRNA from 1 species